UUCUGGGGCCAGGGCUGGG
rnacentral:misc_RNA from 1 species